GUGGGUGUAGCUCAGUUGGUUAGAGCGGAUGGCUGUGGCCCAUCAGGUCGCGGGUUCGAGCCCCGUCACUCACC
rnacentral:tRNA from 1 species